ensembl:snRNA U6 U6 spliceosomal RNA
GUGCUCUCUUCAGCAGCCUAUAUACUGAAAUUGGAACAAUACAGAGAAGGUUAGUAUGACCUCUGGACCAGGAUGACAUACAAAUUUGUGAAGUGUAAAAAAAAAAU